rnacentral:tRNA from 2 species
GCGGGCGUAAUUCAGGGGUAGAAUGUCAGCUUCCCAAGCUGAAUGUCGUGGGUUCGAAUCCCAUCGCCCGCUCCA